rnacentral:sRNA from 1 species
UUUGAAAAAGAAUUUAAGGCUGUGUGUGAUAUUUGUGCUGACAGCAGAGACACUACAGAUGAUGAAGGAUCAGGAGGAAGUAUAUUUAGCUUAUACAUCAACAGUAAAAGUGCAGGGAACAAAGUGAAAAACAGAUUCAGCAACAUCUUGCCAAAAGAUAAAUGUCGACCAUUUUUACAGAUAGAGCUCAAAGAUCAAGGAGAUUACAUCAAUGCAGUAACAGUACCA